GUAGGUGGCAAGCGUUGUCCGGAAUUAUUGGGCGUAAAGCGCGCGCAGGUGGUUCCUUAAGUCUGAUGUGAAAGCCCCCGGGCUCAACCGGGGAGGGUCAUUGGAAACUGGGGAACUUGAGUGCAGGAGAGGAAAGUGGAAUUCCACGUGUAGCGGUGAAAUGCGUAGAUAUGUGGAGGAACACCAGUGGCGAAGGCGACUUUCUGGCCUGUAACUGACACUGAGGCGCGAAAGCGUGGGGAGCAAACAGGAUUAGAUACCCUGGUAGUCCACGCCGUAAACGAUGAGUGCUAAGUGUUGGGGGGUUUCCGCCCCUCAGUGCUGCAGCUAACGCAUUAAGCACUCCGCCUGGGGAGUACGGUCGCAAAGACUG
rnacentral:rRNA from 1 species